rnacentral:lncRNA from 1 species
AUUUCACCCUGUUUGGCUGAAUAGCGGGGAUAACUUUCGUUAUCCCCGCUUAUCCCGCGAUCCAAACGGGGCCUAAGAGUGGAACAGUCGGAUUUUGACAAAACUAUUUUCGUAUGGAAAUUUUUUUUGGGUAAACUUCAAAUAUCAUCUUUGUGGUUCCGCACUUUCCCACUUUAGUACCAUAUGGUCUAAAAUAUAUCAAUUUAGUAUCCUAUAGUUUUUUUUUUUUUCUUUUCGUCGGCCCCUCCGUUAAGUUUUCAUUAAAUUAUAUAUAAAAAAUUUCAGAUAUCCCACCUAUAAUUUAUAGGAUAUUUACUUUAGUAUUUUUUAAUUUUAACUUUAUUAUUGAUUUAACGAAAAAAAUUAAUAGAAAUGAUAACAAAAAAGAGAAAAAUAAAAUUACAAAAUAUCAAAAUAAUAUAUUUUAAACUAUAAAGUAUUAAAAAUGAGAAAGUGAAAAACCACAUUAAUAAAGGUUUUUUUUUUUUUUUUUGGAAUG